UGCAUUCUUGAGCAAACUGGACGCAGAGUUACCAAACAGACGUGCCUGCCAAACUGUUCCUCGUGACUUUCAGUUCUCUACACAGAGAGUUGUGUCGGUGCUUCCUGCURUGCAGCAGAAGAGUGGGAGGGGACAGAGCCCACCACCAGGCUGCUSUCAAUACAGAUCUCCAGUUGRUCACCCCAGCAUUCCCUCUGAGAGCUCCUUCAGAAGCACUGCCAACUCAGCUCCAGUUGAUCCUACGCAUGUGCUUUCCCAGAAUAAAUUACUGGAACCUAAACGACAGCAGCAAGAAGAGGAAAGAGCCAGAAUCCUUCAAGCCGAGCACAGGAGG